rnacentral:rRNA from 1 species
AUUGAACGCUGGCGGCAUGCCUAACACAUGCAAGUCGAACGGUAACGCGCUUCCUGGUGGCGAUGAGUGGCGGACGGGUGAGUAAUACAUCGGAACGUACCCGACCCUGGGGGUUAGCGAGGCUAAAGCUAUGCUAAGAUACCAUACGAUCGACGGAUGAGAGCAGGGGACGGCAAGGGAUCGUGCGGGCGGAUGGGGCGGUGCCAGCUUAGGUAGGUGGUGGGAUAAGGGCUUAGCAAGCCGACGAUCUGUAGCGGGUCUGAGAGGAUGAUCAGCCACACUGGGACUGAGACACGGCCCAGACUCCUACGGGAGGCAGCAGUGGGGAAUUUUGGACAAUGGGCGCAAGCCUGAUCCAGCCAUGCCGCGUGCAGGAUGAAGGCCUUCGGGUUGUAAACUGCUUUUGUACGGAACGAAAAGCCUUCUUUUAAUACAGGAGGGUCAUGACGGUACCGUAAGAAUAAGCACCGGCUAACUACGUG